rnacentral:rRNA from 1 species
AACGAACGCUGGCGGCAUGCCUAACACAUGCAAGUCGAACGAGACCUUCGGGUCUAGUGGCGCACGGGUGCGUAACGCGUGGGAACCUGCCUUUAGGUUCGGAAUAACUCAGAGAAAUUUGAGCUAAUACAGGAUGAUGUCUUCGGACCAAAGAUUUAUCGCCUUUAGAUGGGCCCGCGUUGGAUUAGCUAGUUGGUGGGGUAAAGGCCUACCAAGGCGACGAUCCAUAGCUGGUCUGAGAGGAUGAUCAGCCACACUGGGACUGAGACACGGCCCAGACUCCUACGGGAGGCAGCAGUGGGGAAUAUUGGACAAUGGGCGAAAGCCUGAUCCAGCAAUGCCGCGUGAGUGAUGAAGGCCUUAGGGUUGUAAAGCUCUUUUACCCGAGAUGAUAAUGACAGUAUCGGGAGAAUAAGCUCCGGCUAACUCCGUG